GCUGGGUGUGGUGGUGCGCACCUGUAAUCCCAGCUACUCGGGAGGCUGAGGCAGGAGAAUCACUUGAAUCCAGGAGGUGGAGGUUGCAGUGAGCCGAGAUCACGCUAUUGCACUCCAGCCUGGGCAACAGAGUGAGACUCUGUCUCAA
ensembl:misc_RNA Metazoa_SRP Metazoan signal recognition particle RNA